UUCUAUAGGACCAAAUGAUCCUGUUUGGUGUACUGCCUUGCUUCGGAGCCUCAAGUGGUAUCUGGCACACGAUCCUGAAGUGAACUUUCUAGUACUCUGGCCAGCAUUGGUGGUGCUUUCUGCAUUCAAGACAUCCACUGCAGUAACUGCCGUGAAGCUGCUGUGGUAAACCCCACUGCUGUCCCUUCUCUUCCAUGACUCUCCACACGGCUUUGACUACAACACCAGCUAAACAUCUUGGUUAACCAACACACUGAAAUACAGAAUUUGAUAACUUUUGAUGAAAUAAAAGUGCC